UACGUAGGGACCAAGCGUUGUUCGGAUUUACUGGGCGUAAAGGGCGCGUAGGCGGCUUAACAAGUCACUUGUGAAAUCUCCGGGCUUAACUCGGAACGGCCAAGUGAAACUGUCAAGCUAGAGUGCAGAAGGGGCAAUCGGAAUUCUUGGUGUAGCGGUGAAAUGCGUAGAUAUCAGGAGGAACACCUGUGGUGUAGACAGCUUGCUGGACCAUUUCUGACACUGAGACACGAAAGCGUGGGUAGCAAACAGG
rnacentral:rRNA from 1 species